rnacentral:rRNA from 1 species
UACGUAGGGCGCAAGCGUUGUCCGGAAUUAUUGGGCGUAAAGAGCUCGUAGGCGGCCUGUUACGUCUGCUGUGAAAUCCCGGGGCUUAACCCCGGGCGUGCAGUGGAUACGGGCAGGCUGGAGGCAGGCAGGGGAGAACGGAAUUCCCGGUGUAGCGGUGAAAUGCGCAGAUAUCGGGAGGAACACCGGUGGCGAAGGCGGUUCUCUGGGCAUGUACUGACGCUGAGGAGCGAAAGCGUGGGGAGCAAGCAGG